GCGGCGCGGACAGCAGGGAGGGGCCGCGCGGAGGUUCAGUCCCUGCCGCCCUGGGAGUCUGUGCUGCCCCCGCCCCGCUCCGCUCCGGGGCACGUGACUCGGGGCUCGGGGAUCUCAGAGGGUCCUGGAGAUCCGGGGGUCUACGGCGAUUUCGGGGGUCCGGGGAGUCGAGGGUCUUGGGCGUGCGAGGAUCUCAGAGAAUCUGCGAUCUCGGGGUUUCGGGGGCCGCGGUUGUGGCCGCGGGGCGCAAUGGGCCCGCAGCGAACUCCACUGAAGCGCGUCUGCGGGAGCCGAGGGCCGCCACUCUCCCCAACCCGGAAAGCGCAGCGCGAGAAAGGCAGGUUAUAUGCCAGCCUCACUCAUGAACAUCGCCACAAAAACUUAAAUAAAUAAAUGUUAUCAAGCAUGCAAGGAAAGUAUUUGAUGAAAUUCAGCAUCCAUGCAUGACCGGAACACUUGGCGGAAGAAUAAGAAAGUCCUUCUUCCGGGAAUCCACCAAACAGAACAAAACUCUCCUAACGCCAGGCCCUCCAGUUCCUGAAACCCUGGUCCAAGAAUUCACCACUCACACCCAAGAAGAGGAAGAAAAUAAAUGCGAGGGAAAUGAAAGAAACGUUUACAUGGUGGGUCCAGUGUUUAUCUUAGCAAGCGAAUGAAAUGCAUGGCUCUGAGCAGCAGUACAAAAUCACUUCCUUGAAAAGUAACAACCAAAUGCCUGUGCUCACCUUUCUCCUAGCUGGCCUGUGCUCACCUUUCUCCUACCUGGCUUUCCCCCUGCCUGAGGCCUCCCUGCCUCCUGGCUGGUUCCCACCUUCGCCUACAAUGACCUUUCUUCCCGGCACUCCCAGGUGAGUCAGGCAGUGACACCGUGGACUUCCAGCCCCCUUCAGCCUCAUCAUGGGUGGCUGUCUGUGGUAGGAAAGCCUGAGAACCCAGCUAUGUUUGAUUACACUGCUUAUGGGAAAACACGUUUCAGAGUCUGAAAUACCAACUGACAAUUUGCUCCUAAACCUGUUAUAACACAAUCCGGUGAGAACUGCCUAGACGUUGAAAGUCAAGUUAGAAGUAGAGACCGUGGUUCCCAAGCUCGGUGUCGUGACAUCACUGUCAUAGUGAGAUUUGUUACAAGCAAUUUUUCACAAUUAUAAUGUUUGCAGUGAUUUUUUAUCUAAAUGAAACAAUGCAAACUGGAGACUCUCCCUGUAAUGCGGUUCGCUGGGGUUUCUGCGUGACGAGGGAACGGAAGGCCCUACUCCAGCCGUUACUGUAACCCACGGCCACUUAGUUUGAACACCGUGGUUUCUGCACACCCACAGAAGUGUGUCGCAAUUAUGACCAGAAGUGCACCACUACAAAACGGUGUUGACAGAUGCUGUUAGACAACCUACCAAGUUACAGGAGAGAAAGGCCAGGCACUACCAGAACCAGAGCAGGCACCGCAUUCUGCACCCUGGAGGGUGUUAGUUCAGACUGGGAGAAGACAUCUGAGGUGAGGACAGUGGCUUCCGAAGGGUGAGCAGACGGCGCCGCGUUCCACUGAGGUCUGGCUCGGUUUCAUUGUCUCCCACGCGAAGUUAAUGGAUUCCAGGAUUAUCAUUUCUUCCCGGGCCUCUGUUUGUGAAAGGAAUAUUAACUGAACCCAGAAGGGAGCGUGAGGUGAGGUAAGAGAAACAGCCAAGACUCCCACCUUAUGCAGGUAAAGGGUCAGGAUUUAAAGGAGGUGGCUAAGGGAUACUGAACCUACCUGACACUGAAGCAGAAUCGUCUUCCUCAAAUGCUUACCAAUUGCUGUGGUCUGAACCCCCACCCCAAGUUCACUUGUUGAUGGUGUUAGGAGAGGGAGCCUGGGAGGUGAUGAGGUCACAAGGUUAGAGGCCCCAUGGGAUCUGGGACCUUCUUAAAACACCCCUUCCUUCAUGUGCAGUCACAGUGAGAAGAAGCCGCCUGUGAACCUACAAAAUCAUAAAAAUUAUUCAGUUGUGUUUCCAGCACCAAGGCCUGUGUCUGUCACAAACGGCUUCAUGACGCGCGGACACUGCUGAGUGCCGGGCAGGCCGGUCGUGGUCGAGACCGUCGGCCACGGAGGGAGCCGGCUCAGCUGAGGCGGACUACCCCUUUGUGUACACAGAGGACGGGUUACGCUCGUGGCCUCCUGGCUGUGGGGACGCUGGCUGGUGGCCUGGCCUCAUUCCGGCUGUCCCACCCAGGAGUAGGGGAACAGCAGGCGUUCGUAGAUGACGGCGUCUGUGCCAGGCACGUUGCUUUUCAUAAAUCGCCUCUAACCCUCACGACAGGCCUGCAAGGGCUUUAGGAUCCCCAGUUUGCGGACAAGGAAUCCAAGUGUCAUUUCCCGUUCCGCUGUGCCCGAGCCAGGUGAGGCCUAGAGAAGCAGCUGGCAGAGAGCAGAGAAGGAGGUGCGCCCCGCGGACACGUGGCAGGUCCUGUCUGCUGGGCCAGCGCUGCGUGGGACCAGGCAUCUGCUGAGUCACUCAUUGUGGCCCUCGACCAGCUGCCCCUCCCAUGCACCCUGUCACUCAGUGUGGUGACCAAGCUGGUGUUCGCCAUGCCAGGCCAGCUGGUCCAGACUGUCACACCAAAGGCGCCGCGUCUGAGGGACCGCGUGGGCCUUCGCGUGCCGCCUGCGUGCUAACCUCUCUUCCCCUCUUGCUCGCCCUGCGAGAUAGCCCGUGGAGGUGUUGGAGAGGGUGUGAGGUUGUGUCCAGCUUGGUUCAUCUGUUGGACUCUGGGAGGCUGUCGCCACACCAGUGGCUACCAGAGGCCUGGCUUAGUCCCAAGGAUGGGAAGACUGGAGAAAAUAUUCACCCUCCAAAAGUUGCACCCCACCUAACUGUGGGCUGUCGGGGACGGGGAAUACUUCGUCAUACCCCAGCAUGAAGAACCGGACACAAGUCACGGAGGGCUAUGUUGUUUUAGGUCUAUGUAUCACGGUUUGCUUGAGACAACAGAGGGUGACGUGUUACUGACGAGCGCUAAGCUGUUAACACCUCGUCCGUGUAACUUCCGGACAGUUUUAACUACAGCACGAGUAAGAACCUUCGCAAGUAAAACGUUAGCUCACGAAAACCAGCCUGGCCACGGCCGGAGCACGGGGAGGCAGAAGCAGAUUAUGUCCAUAUUUUUGAGCGAGGGCUGGAUGAGCAAGGCAGGCCCUGACCACUACCCAGACUGUCCAAUGACUGUCGCCCUGCUAAGCCCCCAGUGGUGUGAGCUGUCCCCGCCUGCGCUGCCCAGUGCUCCGGCCUCUUUGCGGCAGAGACCCCGCAGGGGACGCCCUGACCGGCACGUCGGGCUCCGUCACCAGGUGCGAGCUUCCUGUGGUCAGGAGCCUGUCGCCUGGCCCUGUCGGCUUGUGCCAUGGCUCUGGGUUGCUGCCAGGCCACACAGCCUCCUCACAAUAGCACCGCAGCGAGUGAUGUCGGCCAGCCCCGUGAGCCCCCACGCCCCUGGACUAAGCAGGUGGCAGGAGCGGGCAGCAACCCCUUGGCCAGGCCUCGGCCAACGGCAGGUGGAUGAGGCGCGUCCUGCCAACAGAACCUCGGCCGAGCAGAGCGAGCUCAGCCUCCACACCUGGGCUGAGGCGUCGAGCGGGAGCCGGGAGGGCGGCGCUCGGUGACCGUGCCGUGUCCCCCAGCCGCUUCCCUUUCUCUUGUCAUCUGCCUCCCGACACUGGAUCUGGGUAUGGAACGUCUGACGCUGCUGCUGACUCUAGCCAGCGCGUGCUUCGGGCAGGCUGAGCCAAGGCCCAAGAAACGGAACUCUCCUGAUGGCUCGGAAGCUGGAGCGAGCCGCGUGGGUGCCCCAUCUGAGCAUCCUCCCCUGGUAUCUCAUGAGUGGACGUUAUGCCCUCGAGAAGCUACGGACUGCCCCCGAGCAGCGGACGGGUGCGCACCCUGCCCUCUGUCGCGGACAAUGUCAGAGGUUCACGACUCCAGCCUGCUGCUUCUGCCUCCCCCCAACAGGGACCUGGGCCUGGUCUCUGUGUGCACAGCGUCUCCAGCUUUCCACGGCCUGCUGGACGAGGACUCUGCGCACGGAGCCCGAAGCGGCUUUUCUUCCUUCCGAUUUGCACCGCAGAAUGCCUGCCGUCAGCCUACUUACAAUUGUGCAGCUUCCAAGUUUGCAUCUCGGCCAAGCUCUCGGGGCCCCAGGGUGCACGUCCUACCCUGCUGUGACUGUGGGACGAAUGUCAGGACCCAGAGGGCGACCUCCAGAUGGGCUCUAAGGAGAAGGCAGAUCUCGCAGGCAUGGCGCCAGCUGCAUUGCCGACCAACACGGCUCGGUUUUAACCGACUGGGCCCGGCCUUGUCUGCCAGGCUGAGGGGUGGGCUCAGCGUCAGGCUGCGGCAUGCGGGAGCCGACAUGGGCCCUCGGACCCCGCCACGUCGCUGCUGCUCGGCUCUGACGUGGCGGCCUGCCUUCUGGUCGUUGAGUCGUCACGCCGAGACUGCACGUGUCUUGAGGUUCUGCCGGUCUGCGCUGAGGACGCACAAGAAGCUAUGUCUUUGGAAACUUUGGCAACUGUCAUAGAGAUUUAAGUUAGAGGAAAAGUGACGUCUUAAACACAGAAAAUAACACAUGUUCAUAAGACAAUACGGCGAGAGCAGGUCGAUUCAAUAGCCUGUGAACGAAUUUAAAGCUGUAUUUAUUUGUUUUGUUUUACUUAAGAAACCUGCAUUGUGUGCCUACAAUGUGCCAAGCAUCCUGGUGGGUGUGGAUGCCAGAACGAGCCCCCAAAGAGGUCCGUGUCACCGUCUCCAGACCCGUGCCUGUGUCACCUCACCAUAGCGAGGGGCGUCAGGCUGAAGACAGCCUGGAGUUUGCUCGCCAGCUGACCUAGGUAGCGGGAGGGCCUUGCCUCAGCCGGGUGGGCCUUGUUAAUCACAAGGGUCCUUGUAAGUGGGAGGGGCUCGGUGUCAGCGCCAUGCACGUGACAAGGACUUCAGUGCCACUGCUGGCUCUGAAGAUGGAGGGAGGCACCUGGAGCCAUGGAUGUGGGUGCCUCUAGACGCUGGGGAAGUCCAGGCGACAGCGCCUUCCCGUGACUCCUCGGAAGGGGCGCAGCCCCCAUGUCUGGCGUCAGCUCUCCGGCCUGAAGAGCUGUGGGGGCCGUUUGUGGGUGCUGGUGCAGCAGCCAAAGAACGCGAAGGUGCCCACAGAGCUGUUGGUUUGUCUGACUGUUGCUGAAGGGAAGGCAGACAAGACACGACUCUCAACCUGAGUGGUGAACAGUGACCCCCAGGUGAGGUCAGCACACGUUUGCACGCGUGUGGAGGUUCCUGUGUGCUGUCGAGUGGAAGGGAGGGAGCAAACGCAGAGCCAUGCUGAACUGCAGCCUGAGAGCAGUGGAUCCGACCCUCCUAAUCCUGCGCCCCCCACAAAUGCUGCAUUUCUACCGACCACUCGAGCCACACGUGAGGCCACGCAGCAGAUGCUCGCCGGAAAAGUACAGAGUCGGCUAAUAAAAGCACCAAAACCAAGCAAAAAUAAAUCCAGCAACGUCCUCUUUCGACCUUCUAUAUAAACAUCAUUUAGAAGCAGGUCUUGUGUUUGAUCAGUUUCCGUUUUUCCGGUGGAGAAACCAGAAGCCGAGGUGCCACGAGGUGGGCGCUCGCCCAGUUAACGGCAGGCCGCAGCCGGAACCCGCGUCUCUUCACGGGGCCAACACUCCUCCGCCCCGAGGUACUCCAGAGCAGCGCUUGUCCCCUCGGGUGCAGGGGAGCCUGACGACCCAGGCCAGGGGACAAUGGCGACUCACUGAGCCACAUGGCUUCCCGCUCCCGCUAUCUGAGGAGUCUCCUGGCUUCCUGUUCCAUCCACCCUCAGCCACUGGGUGAGCUCGCUGUGGCCUUUCUCUCCCAGGCUCAGUCAGGGCUGGCUCCUCUGGGCUGUGGGACAGGAUCGCGGGGGCCACUUGUAAAGGGAGCGCAGGGAUGGCGGGCAGGUGGCUCCAGCCACAGCUGAGGGCGGAGCUGCGUUUAUUCAACAGGUUUAUUCAACACCAAGGGGCGGGCGCCUCGGAGGCUCCGGGGCAUAGGAGUG